UAGUACUGCAAAUGACUGCGGUGAUUGCCACGACUUCCCUCCUCCCCCUCCCCAAAAAAUCAGCGAGGAGCCUGUUUGUCGAGGGGCAGCUGUCGGGUGGAGCAGAGCUGACUCCAUGGAGGGAGCCUGGCUGGUGUGGUUGGAAACAGACGUUUUUGAUCCUCUUAUUUUUCUAUUGUAGUAAAAUGCACAAAAUUGAUACGAUAUAUAAAAUUAUGUUAACUCUUAUUAAGUGUCAGAGCAGCCCAGGACAGCCUCUCUGGCAGUGAGGGGCAGGAGCUCACUCAUGUUCUCAACCCAGACACCAUCUGCAUCCCUGAUCGCUUAAUACAGAAUUACUUUUGGUCAUUCAUUCAUUCAAAAACAUUUUCUCCAUAUCUUCUCUGGCAUUUAGAUGUUAAUGAGACAAAAGAAAAUAACUUGAUCCCGAUAGUGGCAAAGGGGAAAGACCGGGGCUGGGAGUCAGU
rnacentral:lncRNA from 1 species